rnacentral:rRNA from 1 species
GAUGAACGCUGGCGGCGUGCCUAAUACAUGCAAGUCGAGCGAACGGACGAGAAGCUUGCUUCUCUGAUGUUAGCGGCGGACGGGUGAGUAACACGUGGAUAACCUACCUAUAAGACUGGGAUAACUUCGGGAAACCGGAGCUAAUACCGGAUGAUAUUUUGAACCGCAUGGUUCAAAAGUGAAAGACGGUCUUGCUGUCACUUAUAGAUGGAUCCGCGCUGCAUUAGCUAGUUGGUAAGGUAACGGCUUACCAAGGCAACGAUGCAUAACCGACCUGAGAGGGUGAUCGGCCACACUGGAACUGAGACACGGUCCAGACUCCUACGGGAGGCAGCAGUAGGGAAUCUUCCGCAAUGUGCGAAAGCCUGACGGAGCAACGCCGCGUGAGUGAUGAAGGUCUUCGGAUCGUAAAACUCUGUUAUUAGGGAAGAACAUAUGUGUAAGUAACUGUGCACAUCUUGACGUUACCUAAUCAGAAAGCCACGGCUAACUACGUG